rnacentral:rRNA from 1 species
CCGUAGGUGAACCUGCGGAAGGAUCAUUACCGAGUGUAGGGUUCCUAGCGAGCCCAACCUCCCACCCGUGUUUACUGUACCUUAGUUGCUUCGGCGGGCCCGCCAUUCAUGGCCGCCGGGGGCUCUCAGCCCCGGGCCCGCGCCCGCCGGAGACACCACGAACUCUGUCUGAUCUAGUGAAGUCUGAGUUGAUUGUAUCGCAAUCAGUUAAAACUUUCAACAAUGGAUCUCUUGGUUCCGGCAUCGAUGAAGAACGCAGCGAAAUGCGAUAACUAGUGUGAAUUGCAGAAUUCCGUGAAUCAUCGAGUCUUUGAACGCACAUUGCGCCCCCUGGUAUUCCGGGGGGCAUGCCUGUCCGAGCGUCAUUGCUGCCCAUCAAGCACGGCUUGUGUGUUGGGUCGUCGUCCCCUCUCCGGGGGGGACGGGCCCCAAAGGCAGCGGCGGCACCGCGUCCGAUCCUCGAGCGUAUGGGGCUUUGUCACCCGCUCUGUAGGCCCGGCCGGCGCUUGCCGAACGCAAAUCGAAUCUUUUUCC